rnacentral:rRNA from 2 species
CAUUCGAAACUGGCAGGCUUGAGUCUUGUAGAGGGGGGUAGAAUUCCAGGUGUAGCGGUGAAAUGCGUAGAGAUCUGGAGGAAUACCGGUGGCGAAGGCGGCCCCCUGGACAAAGACUGACGCUCAGGUGCGAAAGCGUGGGGAGCAAACAGGAUUAGAUACCCUGGUAGUCCACGCCGUAAACGAUGUCUACUUGGAGGUUGUGCCCUUGAGGCGUGGCUUCCGGAGCUAACGCGUUAAGUAGACCGCCUGGGGAGUACGGCCGCAAGGUUAAAACUCAAAUGAAUUGACGGGGGCCCGCACAAGCGGUGGAGCAUGUGGUUUAAUUCGAUGCAACGCGAAGAACC